rnacentral:rRNA from 1 species
AUGACCUUGGUCAAGGCGGUCCUUACUGCAGUGGCCAUUUAUGAUAUCACACCACUGGACCUUCCGGUGGAGGUUCUCAAGACAAUUGAUAAACUAAGGCGGGCCUAUCUUUGGGCUGGAACGGACAAAGUGACAGGUGGAAAAUGCAAAGUCAACUGAGAGUUGGUGUGCAAACCGAAAGAGUAUGGAGGUCUUGGCAUUUUGCACCUUGGAAAAUACGCAACUGCUCUCCGGCUGAGGUGGUUGUGGCUAGACUGGGACGACCCGCCAAGGGCGUGGUGCGCGCUGGGCACGCCUUGCAUGAAAACAAGAUCAUGA